rnacentral:lncRNA from 1 species
CCAGUGUGUAACAAGAAAGAAAAUGAAAAUAGUAAAGGACAGUGAUAUCUGUAACAUACUUGAAACACACUGUAUGGUAUUGUAGAGCAAUUAUUUCCACAACCACCUUAGCAAGUUUUUUACUUUGUUUUUUAAUGUGAUGUGUUCAUGAAUGUUACAUCCUAUUGCCACAUUUCAAUAUAAAUAUCUGGUAUGCAAUUCAUCAGAGGCUCCCAUCCUAUAAUAAUGGAACCAAGACUUUGGUCCAGCAAUGUAAAAUGAGGAUAUCUGCUUGCUUCCACAAACCCACGUUUUUCCAAAAAUGUGAAUUUUACUGAAUGCCUUAGCUUGAUGUUGAGUCUUCCAAAAGGCCCUAUUCAGAAUCUGUUCUUCAGUGGCAUCUUUAUCACCAGUGUAAACAAGAAAACUGGCAUCUUUAAACCUUGAAAAAUAAAAUUAAAGGGACACUGUAGGCACCCAGACCACUUCAGCUAAUUAAAGUGGUCUGGGUGCUGUGUUCCUUUUGCACUUAGUGCUGCAAUGUCAAACAUUGAAGUUGUACAUUGCAACACUGUCUGCCCUCAGUGGCUGUCUAUCAAACAGCCACUGGGGGCGCAUCCGGAAUCGUAACGGACUUUUGGUCCAGCUCCAGCCCCAGAUUUUUAUCCAUAGGAAAGCAUUGAUUCAAUACUUUCCUAUGGGGAGGUCUAAUGUGAGCGCAGCAUAUGCUGUGCAUGCGCAUUAGACCCUGCUCGUCGUGUGAUGGAGAAGGGGCGGAGCUUCGACCCAGCGCUGAGGGACAUCGGCGCUGGGAUAAAGUAAGUAAAUAAAGAGAGGGGUGGAGGCAGAGGGAUCGAUAGUGCCAGGAAUACAGCUUUGUACUCCUGGCACUACAGUAUCCCUUUAAGUAUCAUUUAGCCAGAUCCCUACAAUUAAAUGAAUAGUCAGUUGUAAAAUUGUGAGUAUAUAUAGAAUAUCUACUAUAAUCCAAUCUCAUCUACUCAGAAAUGCCUACUCUCAAUUUCUACAAUUACCAAAUUCCUCGUACAUCCCUCACUACCAUGCAUUUCCUCUCACAGUCCAACCUCAUCUUCCAUGAUAUAUUCCCUUCUCUCCAUCACCUGCUGGAUUCUACACUCACAACAACAGGGGCCUUUGGGCUUCUGAGUCAGAGGUCCAUAUAAUGAGUAAAAUGAAGAUAUAACAAGCAACAAGCUGUAUUUUCAUGCUCUAAAAUACAUAUUACACAGGUAUGAAAAAAGUAUUACUUUAGAACAGGGUUGGACUAAUCAUAGCUCCCUAGAUGUUGUAUAACUGCAACAUCCACCAUACUUUGCUACUCUACUCACCUUAAAAAAGAAUUUCACCCCUUCUCCAAUUUUAUUAUUUUUUUAAUGCCCAAAAAUUCCCAAUUCACAAAACUGACUUGGAAAGAAAUAUAAUUUUUACAAGUCAGGCUUGUGAACGGGGAAUCGCUGACUGGCUGAGAGAGUCAGCUGACUGCUCUCAGCCAAUCAGUGGUGGCGCUGCCUGGUUGCACUCAGUGCUUCCUAUAAGUGAACUUUCAGAAGCCAAAUGCCACCUGGAGCAAAGUUGUUUUGGUGCCUGGAGUGUCCUUUUUUUGUUAUUUCUCAUCAUGAACACUGGAUCGGUAUUUUUUUUAUCUUUUAUGCUGCUCUCCUUAAUUUUUACAUCCCAGACAUUAAUUGCAUUAAAAAAAAACCCUCUAGAAUUAUUUAAAAAAUGUUUUUUUGUUGUUGUUGUAAACUCUGUAUAUCUAUUGAAGAAAAUAAGUUUUAAAAGGCACCAUCAGUUUGUGAAAGUGAGACUGGCACAUAAUCCAGUCAGACCCAAUGAGUUGAACACCAAAUGUUUAUUUGUUUUGUUGCCAUAUGCCAAUUGUACAGUUACACUAGAUAUUUUGAUAAUUUUUAAAAGUGCUGUACAGAAAACUACAUUGAAAAACUUUUACAUGCAAGUAUUUUCUGAUCUAUUUAUUUGUUUGCGCACCUUUUGUAUAUAUGCUACUAUAAUGAAUUGCAACAUUUUUAAUCCAUAAUUUUGUCUAGCUAUGGCAUUUAUGACUUCAAUUCACUACAAUUCGGAGUUCAGUAAAUUAACCCCACAAUAUAAUGAAACCCUAAAAUUGGGUUUCCAUCAAAGUACCAGCUUGUUAUAUCUGCAUUAACAGUAUGGACAAUUCCUACCCUUGCCAGAAGGUGCUUCCUCUUUUAUACACAGUAAUCUGAACUUUUGGCAAUCCAGCUGCUGUGGACUACUCUUCCCAUGAUGCUCCUCCAUGUGAAUGGCUGACACAGCAAUAUGGUGAACUGUAGUGCCACAGUUUACCCACCUCUGUAUACUAUCUCUCCAAACUAAACCUAUCCCUCCUCUUUGUUACAUGCACUCAUCUGAGCAGCCCAUACAGGCAUAACAAACCAGCCAUCACUGGGUGAUGCUGGCGCUGCACAUUAUUUCAAUGCCGAUUGCCCGCAGCAUUGAACACGUGCCUCCUACAUAGUGAUGUUACCAACUCACCGUUAUAUGUCUCGGUGCAAGGUUACCAC